rnacentral:misc_RNA from 1 species
UCUCUCUCUCUCAUUUUCUCUCUUCCUUUCAUAUCCUAUAAACUAUCAAUUUCCUUUGCACCUUCACUGCUCAAUUAUUCACACCACCUAUUCUUCCUCUUCCAUAUUCCUUUUCCUUUCCCUCUUUCUCUUCCUUGUGUAAACAAUAAAUCUGAGCAAUUGUCAACAUCAAUUAUAGAUGUCCCAAUUGAGCAACACCCACCAGUUCCAUGCAAGUGCUACAUGAGAAUCCAUCUCCAAAACUCAAUUUCUACUCCUCUUUUGCAAUUUUGUGGUUGUUUUCCUUGCCAUCUACUUGUCCAAGGUGAAAUAUCGCACAGGUAAAUCGGUUCCCAUCUAGAUUCUUAUCUUUUGCAAUCAUCACUUUGUAUAUCCCCUCAAAAUAAGCAAAGUUCACAUGGGUUUUAAAAUUCUCCACUGUGUGUUGGAGAUUUGGUGAUUUUUUAUUACUUUUUUUUCGAUUUUCUUAUGUAUAAUUUUGUAAUCUAUUUUUUAUUUGGAUUUGGAUUUGAUUUGUCUUAUUUAUGGUUUGAUUGGGUUUGGAUUGUUAAUGGGUUUCUAAUAUUGUCAAGUAAUUUUUAAUCAAGUGGUUAAUUUGAGCUUAAUUAAUUGCAAGAAAUUAUUUUCUUUAUUAAAAUUUAUUAGUGCAUAUUAAUGAGAAAUUGAUAACAGGUUAGUGCAUUUUUGUUGUCAAUCCAUUU